rnacentral:sRNA from 1 species
UUCCCACGUAGUGCCAUCUAGUAAAUAA